AUCAUGGCUCAGAUUGAACGCUGGCGGCAUGCUUUACACAUGCAAGUCGAACGGUAACAGGUCUUCGGAUGCUGACGAGUGGCGAACGGGUGAGUAAUGUAUCGGAACGUGCCCAGUAGUGGGGGAUAACUACUCGAAAGAGUGGCUAAUACCGCAUGAGAACUGAGGUUGAAAGCGGGGGACCUUCGGGCCUCGCGCUACUGGAGCGGCCGAUAUCAGAUUAGGUAGUUGGUGGGGUAAAGGCCUACCAAGCCGACGAUCUGCAGCUGGUCUGAGAGGACGACCAGCCACACUGGGACUGAGACACGGCCCAGACUCCUACGGGAGGCAGCAGUGGGGAAUUUUGGACAAUGGACGCAAGUCUGAUCCAGCAAUGCCGCGUGCAGGACGAAGGCCUUCGGGUUGUAAACUGCUUUUGUACAGAACGAAAAGGUCUCUAUUAAUACUAGGGGCUCAUGACGGUACUGUAAGAAUAAGCACCGGCUAACUACGUG
rnacentral:rRNA from 1 species